GUGAAGCUGGAUUCGCUAGUAAUCGCGCAUCAGCCAUGGCGCGGUGAAUACGUUCCCGGGCCUUGUACACACCGCCCGUCAAGCCAUGGAAGCCGGGAGUGCCUGAAGUAUGCAACCGCAAGGAGCGUCCUAAGGUAAAACCGGUGACUGGGGCUAAGUCGUAACAAGGUACC
rnacentral:rRNA from 1 species